GACGAACGCUGGCGGCGUGCUUAACACAUGCAAGUCGAACGGAAAGGCCCUGCUUUUGUGGGGUGCUCGAGUGGCGAACGGGUGAGUAACACGUGAGUAACCUGCCCUUGACUUUGGGAUAACUUCAGGAAACUGGGGCUAAUACCGGAUAGGAGCUCCUGCUGCAUGGUGGGGGUUGGAAAGUUUCGGCGGUUGGGGAUGGACUCGCGGCUUAUCAGCUUGUUGGUGGGGUAGUGGCUUACCAAGGCUUUGACGGGUAGCCGGCCUGAGAGGGUGACCGGCCACAUUGGGCCUGAGGUACGGCCCAGACUCCUACGGGAGGCAGCAGUGGGGAAUAUUGCACAAUGGGCGGAAGCCUGAUGCAGCAACGCCGCGUGCGGGAUGACGGCCUUCGGGUUGUAAACCGCUUUCGCCUGUGACGAAGCGUGAGUGACGGUAAUGGGUAAAGAAGCACCGGCUAACUACGUG
rnacentral:rRNA from 1 species